rnacentral:rRNA from 1 species
GACGAACGCUGGCGGCGUGCUUAACACAUGCAAGUCGAACGGAAAGGCCCUGCUUUUUUGGGGUGCUCGAGUUGCGAACGGGUGAGUAACCCGUGAGUUACCUGCCCUUGCCUUUGGGAUGACUUCAGGAAACUUGGGCUAAUAGCGGCUAGGAGCUCCUGCUUCUUGGUGGGGGUUGGAUAGUUUCGGCGGUUGGGGAUGGACUCGCGGCUUAUCAGCUUGUUGGUGGGGUAGUGGCUUACCAAGGCUAUGAAAGGUAGCAGGCCUGAGCGGGUGACCGGCCACACUGGGAUUGAAAUGAGGCACAGACUACUCCGGGAGGGAGAAGUGCGGAAUAGAGUAUUAGGGGCGGAGGGAUGAUGCAGUAAAGCAGUGUGGGGGAUGACGGCAAGCGGGUUGUAAUGUGAUUCUGUCUGUGACGAAGCGUGAGUGACGGUAAUGGGUAAAGAAGCACCGGCUAACUACGUG